GGGCGUCAAGGGCAAACCCAUUGGUGGGGACGCAAAGCUACAGGGUCUAAGGUGCUUAUGCGAUGGCACUACGACAGCCUGGCCGCCGCG
rnacentral:ncRNA from 1 species